AUCCAGAUGACGAGUCCCAAAAUAGGACGAAGUGCGCAUCCCGGAU
rnacentral:hammerhead_ribozyme from 1 species